UUUUUUUUUUUUUUUUUUUUUGUCUUUCAUCCUUUUAGGGCCACACCCCUGGCAUAUGGAGUUUCCCAGCCUAGGGAUCUAAUCGGAGCUCUAUAGCUCUGAUUUGACCCCUGGGAACCUCCAUACGCCAUGGUUGCAGGCCUAAAAUAAAUAAAUAAAUAAAUACAUUUUAUCAGAGUAUAGUUGACUUACGAUGUUGGGGUACUUUCAGGUGUACAGCAAAGUGAAUCUAUCUGUCUAACAUAUCUCUACAUCUAUCGCUCUGUCUCUCUCUCUCCUUUUCAGGUUCUUUUCCAAUAUAGGUGAUAACCCGGUACUGAGCAGAGUUUUCUAUGCUACACAAUAGGUCCUUGUUAGUUAUCCGUUUUAUAUACAGCACUGUAUAUAUGUUAAUCCUACCCCCCUGAUUUAUUUCUCCCUCACGUUCCCCUCUGUCAUUUCUGUUUCAAGUCUGGUACUUGCCUUCCCCUUAGUGGGAUGUGAGGAUGCUGCGAACAUUUUGCCCAUGAUGGAUGCUGCACAUAUUCUUCCUGCUUAGGCACCUGCCUUCUCAUGUGAUGAAUAGUGUUUUGCAAUGUGGAGAUAGCUUUAAAGUCUGAUCCAGGCAAACCUAUCCAUCUGCUCUGAGGGCUCUGUCUUCCGUAGGCUUGUUCCCGAGGUGUUUUAAGCACGGAUGCUGGACCGAGUUCCCAUUUUUCAGGCCUUCCAUGGAGCUGUUGAAAGUCAGAAUUUAGAGCAAGAAUCUUAACAGGGUUCUGUUUUGCUCUGAAUAGAAGCACAUUUUCCUCUGCACUGGAUCCUUAGCAGGUGUGAGGGGACCUUUGUUUGUUUUUAGUUAGAAUUGCUGGUGUCGGAUGUUUCCAAGGUCAAAGUUCCCCAAGUUGUUUUUCCUGGAGUUUUCUCAGCGUCAGAAGAGCAGGGAUACUUUAGUGGGGGUCCAAAUUCAUGGCUUUACUGCCAAUGGUCUCCCAAGACAUAAGGAAAGAGCACCCUCUCCUCACACAGAAGGUCCAGUUUGGUGUGGUUUGCCCUCUGUGAGGGAGCUCAAAUCUUUCAUGGCAUUGGGAGAAUAAUCAGUAAUUUAAUAAUUGGAUGAUUUAAUAACUCCAUACUUAUUUACUGUGAUUAAAUUUAAAGCUUAAAACAUUUAAAAUUAUUAAAUAAUACAUAACAACACUUUAACAGAAGGGCAAAGUUGCUGGAUUGAUAGAAAAUCAUUACCUUUACGAUAGAAAAAGUAUCUUGGGAUUGCCAGCCUUCUCUCCAUCUGACCAUCUUCCAGGGUUUAAGGCUGGAGACCUUGGCUUUGCCCUUCUUUCUCCCCCUCUGCCCUCCGACCCAUCACCCAGUUUUGUGGACGCUUUCUGAGAACUCACUCUCCUUCUUCUUGUGACUCUGGCCUCCUUUCUGUUGCCAUGGUGCAUCCUCCAUGGUCCUUAAACCGUCACCCCUGGGUUAUUACAGUAAUUCUCUCAUGUGCGCCUUCUGCUUCAUUCUCUUCUCCUAAAACCUCACUGGGUACAGGAGUCCCUCCUCAGCUCCUUGCCUUUGGCGAGACAUCUUCCGCCUCCGGGGCCCCAGCAUCAGGAUACAACUGCCUCUCUAGCCUUGUCCCUCCAGAGGCCCCACGUGAACCAUCCUCCCAGACAAAGGGGAUGAUAGUCUGUGGUCCUUCCCACCCACCUCCAGAUGACAAUUGUGUGGCACUGCAGAAAUUUGUGACCUGCCCUAGCUUCGGUAUCUCAUGUCUUCCCAAUGUCUCCCUCUGUCUCACUGUGGAAGCGGCCCCAGGAUCCUCUUUGUCCUCCGUGGGUUAAACAUUGGGAUUAGCUGCCUCAGCAUGCCUCAUCCCUCCCACCCCUGCCCCCAAACAGAAUGAGCUGUAAAUUUGGAAAUUCACCUUUGAUGUUAAAUUAUGAAAAAACAAUCUCCCAAUUGCUGUUCUUGGGGAAGAAGAGCAGGUCAGGCCUGACUCUGCCGGUUGGGUGCCCGGCCAGCUGCCCAGAGCCACCCUGGGACCCUCCUAGAAGCAGCCAGCACUGUAGGAUGUGGACAAUGACGCCGACAGCCCCUUUCCGCUGUGGCUUCUUCCUCGUGGGUCCUGGGUUUGUUGUAUUUCCCCUCCUUCCCUUCCCUUCUCCCGUGUACAAGGGAGUUUUUAAAACGAGGAUAAGGUUGAAAUAAGCUACAGGGAGAGUCUGGGGAAUGCAGAGAAAUGGUGCUUUCUGCUCUCUGGAAAUGCAAGUAUUCGAGCCACAGCCGCCUUUGGUAUGAAACUUGGAAGGAGGUGUUUCUGGAACACCCGCUUCUGUCUGCCUUUCUGCCACCUCCCUGAUCACCAGCUCACGGUGGAGGGCAGUUUUGCAGAGUCAGCUGGACCAGGUCGCAGCUAAAGCUGCUGUAAAUUAAGUGACUGUGAAACGUGGGUUCCCUUCGCGGGGAGGCCGGAGGGCGCGGAAGAGGGUUCUGUAUGUGGCUUCACCCCCGAAAGCCUUUACUUCUGGUGUGUUUCUUGAGGGUCCCCCAGAAACACUUGUUGAGCACCUACAGAGUACGCCACUGGGAUAGCCCAGGCCUUUAUCGAUGCAUCGUCAAGGUGCCAUUUCUGCCCGGGAGGAGUUUAAUUUUUCUCUAGUCCAAAAUGAUGCAAUCAUUUUCGUUUUCUUUUUCAGGCCAUACCUCCAGCAUAUGGCAAUUCCCGGGUAAGGGAUCCAAUUGGAGCUACAGCUGCAGGCCAGGGUUUGAACCUGCACCCUCACAGGUGCUGUGUCAGGUUCUUAACCCACCGAGCUACAAUGGAAACUCUGAGAUGCAAUCCUUUUUAAGUUCUGACAGCGGUGACAGUCACGGGUUAAAGGGACGUCAGCUUUGUCUUCAUAAUACAGCAGCCUCCUCCUCCCGGGUCCCUGUUUUCUGUGCUCACCUUUAUUCCCUUCAUGCGUUUGCAAGGGUGGUAGCCUCUUCUGGGGAAGGGACCUGGUAACGGAAAGAAACGGUGGGGAGGGGGUAUAGCCCAAACAGAGUGGUCUUUCCAAUUCCCAGAUCAUGGAAGGGGCCCCGCGUGGGCAGGAGGCAGUGGCACUGGGGGGCAGGCGCCCAUGACGUGGUGAUGGACGGUCCCAGAGCUCACCCUGUGUGGGCUUGCCAGGCUCCGAUCACGAGCCCCGCUUUGACAUCUGCUGCGGAACAAAGCCCAGCGCCUGAGAGGGGGCCGUGCUCAAGUGGGGCGGAGGGCUGCUCUGCACAUGGCUGCCUUUGAAAAGCUUCCAAGCCCACGGUCUGCUGGUUUGCACCGCAUGUUGCUGCCAUGUUCACUUAAUGACCUUGGAACCAGCAGAGCUCAGGAGAAGCAGCUCCUCCACCCACCAUUUAAAGGGUGCCAUCCCAACCCGUCCUCCCUCCCUCCCCUCUGCUUCCUCUGUGAAGGCUCCAUCCCCAGGUGCCUUCCUGGACCUGGCGGCUCCAGCGCUGCCUGUUCACAAGGUCCAGUCCAGGGGCAGAGAGAGCCGACCACCCCCACGCCUCUCAGGCCCAGCAUGGUGGCUCAUUGGCCCAACCCAGCCUCACUUGAACCCGUCACUGUGGCCACAUGGUACAGAAUGUGCCCAGGAGUGUAGUCUGGGUCUGGGGGGGGGUGGCAUCUAACGCCAUUUUUGCAAAUCGUUUUUUUCGGAACACAGCUGUGCUCUUUGGUUUAUGGAUAGUCCAUACUGGGCUACGAUGGAAGAUUUAAAUAGUUGCAUCAGACACUUUAUGGCCUGAAAAGCCUAAAAUAUUUACUAUCUGGCCCGCUGUAGAGAAAAGUUUGCCAACUGGCUUUGGUCAAAGUAGUGCAUUCUACACUCGACAGGAGGGUUGGCGUCAACUCCACCCUGAGCACAUAGGCCGAGGGUAGUAAACGCUCCCCAGAGAACACGGACGUGCAGCCAGAAGGGGUGAGGAUGCUGGCACACACUUGAUGAGGGUUGCUAUGGUACGUAUUAGCAGUGCUGGCUGAAGGUUAGGGACCCUGGGUGUUGUCGUUGGCUAGGCGUUUCUUGGAUUUUGUUUCUGGAGGAGCUGUCAUGGUUUAAAGAUGAUGCUGGGGGAGCUCCCACUGUGGUGCACUGGCUUAAGCAUCUGACUGCAGCAGCUUGGGUCUCUGUGGGACCAAAGGUCCAAUCCGGGGCCAGGAGCUGUGGGUUAGAGGGUCUGGUGUUGCUGUAGCUGUGGCGUAGGUCGAGGAUGCGGCUUGGAUUCAAUCCCUAGCCCAGGAACGUCCAGAGUCUGCCCGUGUGUGUGCGACCAUGAACAUAAAUAGAUAAACAAAAAAUAAACUAGCAUCCUAUCCUGUCACUCUCUAACUCCCCUUAUCACCCUUCACCUGACAGAUUCUGUGUGUCUUUGCUAUUGCCUGUGUUCUCCUCCUGGAAUACUUUGUCCCCUGUUGCAUCCUCAAAUUAAAAGAAAAAAAUUGCUGUGCUGCCAGAUGGCCAGCUGGAUGCUGUUUUGAAUUCUAGGCACUGAUGUGGGCAAGUGCCUGGAUGACCUAAUGGAGGUCAAAGGGCAGAUGACUCUGGAGAUGGUGUGGAGGACAGGUUGCGACGUAAAAUUGCCAGAUAACGUGCAGGUAACCGGCUGAUCUCCUGAAUUGCCAAACUUGUACUGAAUUAGUCCGCUUUUCCCUAGAGGACGUUCCUUAGUGGCCCCAAAUGGGCAGCAUGUAAGGCCUGGUCCUCUAAUAUUCUAAGUAUUUUGGUUGCAACAAAGAAAAUGUGUGCUCAUAAAACCUGUCGGAUGUAGCACGUGUAUUGGACGGGUCAGCAGAAAUAAUAGAUUGAAAAGAAUAAGAGGUGAUUUGUCGGGAAUAAACAUCCAAUUCCCUGUUUAGGUAACACAAACAAACACAAAUACAAAACACGUGUGCGGUGUAGGCGGGAUGGCGACCUGGUUUAAUGCUGUUCGUAUGAAAAGCACCUGUGCCGUGUGGUUGACCACGAAUUCAACGUGAGUCAGCAGGAUGAAAAUUAAAAAAUAAUGGUGAGAAAAAGGUGGUCUUUUACAAUAUGAUGCUGGGUCAAUUGGGCAACCAUAUGGAGGAAAAAAACCCCAAACGAUCUUGACCCCUAACUCACACCAUACACAAAAUCAGUUCCAGAUGGACUGCAGAUAUAGUGAAAGGUAAAACAAUUACACGUUUAGGAAAAAGCAGCUCAAGAGAAUACCUUUGUGACCCUGAUGUAGAAAAAUGCUUAUUUUACCAGAAUGCAAAAAAGUACAAGCCCUCAAGGAAAAAAUAGAUGGAACUACUUUAAAAAUGAAAAACUUAAAAAAAAAGAAACCAUAAAAAUGAUAAAAAGGUAGCUAAUAGAGUGAGAGGAAAUUCCCUAUCUCUCUGUCUGUCACCUCCAUCCCCUUUCUGUCCUCCUGACUAAAGACUUUGGGCCAGAAAAAGAAAAAGACAUUCCAGAAAUCAUUAAGAAAAGGCCACAAGAGACUUGGCCAGAUAACUCAUAAGGGGGACUUUUCUAAUGGCCACUAAUUAUAUAAAAGGUGCUUAAUUUCAUUAUCCAAGGGAAAAUGCCAGUGAAAACUAUUAUGUGUUAGGGUCAUACCAUCCCCUCCAGUAUUACUAAAAUCAAAAGGACACAGAGAACAGACCUGCAGUCGCCAAGGGGGAGGGGCAGGAAGGGCAGUGGAUGAGGCGUUUGGGGUUAGUAGAUGCAAACUCUUCCACUUAGAAUGGGUAAGCAGUGAGGUCCUCCUGUACAGCACAGGGAACCAUAUCCAAUCUGUUGGGAUAAACCAUGGUGGAAAAGAAUACAAGAAAAGGAACACACACACACACACACACACACACACACACACACACACACACACACGACUGGGUUACUUUGCUCUACAGCAGAAAUUGACACAACGUAAAGCAACUAUACUCCAAUACAAAUAAAAUUUAAAAAUAAGUUAAGUAAAUAAAAAAAUAAAUACCGCGAGAGUUAGGAAGAAAAAAAAAAAAAAAAAA
rnacentral:lncRNA from 9 species